rnacentral:rRNA from 1 species
AAGCCUGAUGCAGCCAUGCCGCGUGUAUGAAGAAGGCCUUCGGGUUGUAAAGYACUUUCAGUUGUGAGGAARGGUGUGUAGUUAAUACCUGCACAUCUUGACGUUACYGACAGAAGAAGCACCGGCUAACUCCGUGCCAGCAGCCGCGGUAAUACGGAGGGUGCGAGCGUUAAUCGGAAUUACUGGGCGUAAAGCGCAUGCAGGUGGUUYAUUAAGUCAGAUGUGAAAGCCCSGGGCUCAACCUCGGAACUGCAUUUGAAACUGGUGAACUAGAGUGCKGUAGAGGGKGGUAGAAUUUCAGGUGUAGCGGUGAAAUGCGUAGAGAUCUGAAGGAAUACCAGUGGCGAAGGCAGCCCCCUGGAYCRACACUGACACUCAGRUGCGAAAGCGUGGGGAGCAAACAGGAUUAGAUACCCUGGUAGUCCACGCCGUAAACGAUGUCUACUUGGAGGYUGUGRCCYUGAGCYGUGKCUUUCGGAGCUAACGCGUUAAGUAGACCGCCUGGGGAGUACGGUCGCAAGAUUAAAACUCAAAUGAAUUGACGGGGGCCCGCACAAGCGGUGGAGCAUGUGGUUUAAUUCGAUGCAACGCGAAGAACCUUACCUACUCUUGACAUCCAGAGAAGCCASCGGAGAUGCAGGGGUGCCUUCGGGARCUCUGAGACAGGUGCUGCAAGGC